UCUGUUACGUAAUCAGGCAAUUAUCAUAAGAAACUAGUAGAUUAAUUUGUUUAAGUGUAUGCCAUCCAAAGCCAACCAAAACAAACACCGACCAGUAGACCUAAACUAGCUUGAAAACUAAACCUGGUCCCAAAUUAUAUUGCGAAAGUGCCGUGACGUGUCGAGACAAAAGCCAUUUCCGCCGUGUGGUAGAAAAGAGUGCGACAGAACCGAAAAAACGCACGGAGUGAACGGACGCAGUCAUAGCAGCCGGGGAGCAGAUUUCUGGAGGCCGAGUGUUCAACUUUACAGAAUAAGCCAUUGUUGGCCGAAGCUUACGAAUCUCGCUCCAUAGGGAACGAUCGGGAGUCCGCGAGUUAGUUGCCGGAGUACGAAGUACGUGGGAUUAGAAGGCAGACUGAGCUUCACCUUUUGGUGCAACACGUAAGUGCAAAUGAUAGCGUAUUACAGUUCGUGUAUUAAAAACCUGCCGCACCACAGGAAUAUCAGUACUCCGGUCCCUUACUUCGUGUUUCGCAGACAACUGCCGAUCGCCCAGAAAUCUCCGCCGGCGCACUGUCACGUGGAUUGUGAGUGGUAGGUACGGAAUAAUACUCCAACUCCGCGACAGACAAUAAGACCGUCGUUCCUUCCAGCAGAUUCACUCCAAUCUUCAAGCGUCGAACGGGCGGGUCAAAUUCUAGUGCAGGAACCCGAACAAACAAGCAGCCCCGUCACAGGGGCUUUGUUUGUACCCCACAGAUUGCGACUGCGUAACCUCCAAGAAGCGAAGCAGGCGAGCACAUCCGAAUUGGCCCUAGUUCAGACAGCGCGACGUUUCGAACACCUCGGUACGCAAUCCCUCAGCCAUCGGUCGCCCGCGACGAUAGCGUCAACUCAGAUCCAGUGGAGAGGACACGGUAGGGCACCCGCGGGAAUUGGAAGGGCAUCGGAAGACAAGCUUUUCUGGUGAGGCCCCGAGUCAACGCAACCCGGGGUGCGGUGCGCCAAACCAACCGCAGGCCAAAUGAAUGCUCGAGGUCCCGCUCGCUCCAGAAGGUCCAACAGAGCAGCACGGUCUACCUCGCUCCUGCCGGCCAAAUAGAGGCCAACGGUCCGGCACGUCACCAGAAGGCACAGUUGAGGGCGCAUGAGAGAAAACGGUCGAAAAGUCGAUCCAACGGUCGGUGAGCGAACUAUACAUAGACUUUGUAAAACGAUGCAUUAAUAUUAAGAAGCAAGCGUAGGGAAAGCUAGGCUCUAAAAUGGGCAAUAAAUUAUAUGUAAGAAUGCUAUAAAUUUGGGUUGCACGUUGUGAUAUUUGGCGUAUUCCUUACACACCGUGGUGGGAAGGUAUGCAGUAAGCUAACAAUUCUUAAACAAACAUUGAACUUACCACUUUUCAGCACACAGUUGCAUGAGGUUGUGUGAGCAUGACUGCCACUAAAUCAUUCAAGCACAAAAAUUUUGCAUGUAGAUUGGAUGACUUAUGCUCAAGAAAGUUUAUAGGAAACCUUAAACAGUCCCAAAACGCCCCCCGCUCUCCCCUGAGCACGCCCUAAGCUCCAUUCGCAACUUAUUUCCCGUAAACCAACCUUAUCCCUAACCUAAAACACUCCAACUGCUCUGAACACAAUCAGAUUCCAUUUAGGUAAAGUUACCUAAAUGAAGGGACCUUAAAAGAUUUUACCUAAAUGGGUUCUACCCGAACGGAGGUUUCAAUGUGUAUAUUAUACAGUGGGCGAGUGGACAACUAAUAUCUUAUGAAACGAACAUGAAACAAACACCUCCAGUUCGAAGGGUUCCGUGAUGCAGAGAUACUGUCUACAACUGAAUCAGCCGAAUAACGGUGGAUGUCAAAUGGAGUUAAUGUAGCUGACUUAGCAACGAAGUUGCCCGUGUAGCUGCCGGAUUAGAAUAGCACUACGGACCCCCUGUUCCGGGGGUAAAAGUCCACCAAGCAGGGAACCCCAAUCCAAGGUGUCAGGCGAUCCGUGCUGAGGGAUGAAUGGUUGAGGGGGUUUCAAAGAUGCUCGAUCGUUAACGGAGCCCGUAACGUGGGUAGAUCACCUUUUCGUGUUGCGUUAGGGAGUAAAAUCUACCGAACCCUAGUCGUCUUAUUUUUCCAAUUUUGGAAUAUGCGUUCUGGCAAUUCAAGGAAUCAUAGUAUUUAGUCCUUGUCACUGGUAUCGUGGUGGCUUG